CUUUGCUAGGUAGGGAUCUCUUAGCUCCUAUGGGACUGAUCAUCCUUAUAGAUCCAGAGCAAACACUUUGUCUUCCCCUGGUGGAGACCAACAUUAAUUCAGAAGUUUGGGAAACUCAAGGAAAAAUUGGCAGGGCUACAACCACCAUACUGGUUCAAAUCCAUCUUACAGCUCCCACAUCCUUCCCUAACCAGAGGCAAUAUCCCCUUGUGAUGGUUAAUACUGAGUGUCAACUUGAUUGGAUUGAAGGAUGCAAUAUUGAUCCUGAGUGUGUCUGUGAGGGUGUUGCCAAUGUUGAUUAACAUUUGAGUCAGUGGACUGGGGAAGGCAGACCCACCCUUAAUCGGGUGAGCACCAUCAAAUCAGCAACCAGCGAAUAUAAAGCAGGUGGAAAAACGUAAAGAGAUGAGACAGGCCUAGCCUCCCAGCCUACAUUUUUCUCCCAUACAGGGUGCUUCCUGCCCUCUAACAUUGGACUCCAAGUUCUUCAGUUUUAGGACUCAGACUGGCUCUUCUUGCUCCUCAGCUUGCAGACAGCCUAUUUUGGGACCUUGUGAUGAUAGGUCAUCAAAUUUUAGAUGGUGAUGCAGAUGGCACCCCACAUGGACAAGUCCUUCUUCCGAGGCCUGCUAGACCACCCUCUGCAUGACUCUUGACUGCCACACAAACAAUGUCCCCUCACAGCUUGAGCAGCUAGUGUGGUUUUCUUCCCUUUUCCCUAAACCGCAAUUAGGGUCACUACUCCAGAAUGGGGAAGGAGAGAGGAGGCAGUUAGGAGCUGGUUAGGCAGAUCGAGAGGGAGGAUCAGUGGAGAAGAACAGAGAGAGGCAAUAUUCACAUGAACAACCAUGGACAGCACCUAAACUGCCUAUGCAGCUAAAGGGAAGAAAUGUGGUUAAGAGCUUCCCCUUAAGCCAGGGUGCUGCUCACAGGGACUGUCCCAACUUAGGGGCAGGCACAAUUCAUCAAAAUAAAUAUCUUUGUCUUAACCUUGCUAAAUAUAAUAUUGUUAACAUGAUAUCAGCAUUGUGUGUUUAGCCCCUCCAUGGAUUUUGGUUAAGCAUUCAUGGGUAAUAACCAAGAGGGAGUCAGUCAGCCCAAACUCAAGCAUGUGCAGAUGCAACACCCAUAGGAGGAACAUUUACCUCUCCCAUUUGGAGAAAAACCUACAGAAGACUUCCUGGCUUCUGCCACAUAACAUAUCAGGAACUCAGUCCUGUUUCUGGAAACUUGCUUUCCAGCCCCCUCUCUUUGCUGAUAACUUUCCUUUUGCUUAAUAAAUCCUACUCUACUCAC
rnacentral:lncRNA from 1 species